AGCCAUGCUUCUGAAUGACAGAUCCUAGUGAUGUCAUGUAGAUGGAGAAUGGAAGCGGUCCCAGCACCGAGCCCUGAGGCACUCCAGUAGCUAGAUGUCGUGACUUACCCUGAAGGACCUACUGAGAGCAAACAAUCCCGUCUUUGUUGUCCUGGUCUGGAGAGGAUCCUUCAGUCCGCGCGUCGCCGCAUUCACUGAUUGCUCUCUUUUUCUGCUGUUACCUCACAUAUGAUAUUUAGAGGCUCAUUUGAAUGGUCCUGAAUCUGAUAUCACACAACAUAAUAAGCCGAAGAUGAGAUGGCCAGUCUGAGGGACAUGCAAAUCAUCUCGAUAAAUUGGAUUUCGCCGUGUUAAUAUGAACACGCUGAUUUUCAUGGCAGCCACAGAGCAUUCUUGGGGAAAUAUGAGUCUGAAAACCGUCCCGAGAUGCUGCCAGACGAGAGAGGUUUGGCUUUCCAGACAAGAGUGAGUGAUUCCAAAAUACACAAUAU